UUUAGGCAUACUGCUGUCACUUCAAGAAUGUAAACGGAGUCUGUAUUUUUACGCGAAUUUGACCUAAACUUGCGAUUGAGUAAAUAAUUGGGCCACUUACCUACAUACAUAUGUAUGUACGUGUUUUUCUCCCAAAGCGAAGUACACCCAAUGUCACGGUCAGCGACACCCGCGACGUAACCAGGUUUCGUCUUCAUCGUCGAUGGAGGGAUCCAUUUCUUGGUUUUACCCGUAAAUAUUGCAUUUAAAUGGCGGACAUCGCGGAAACGACCUCACUUUUAAGUUGGCGACAAACAGAAAUUGAGAUGUACAGGAAUUUAAUAUUUCAUUAUUAAAAAUAUCAAAACGAA